CACGUAGGGUGCGAGCGUUGUCCGGAAUUAUUGGGCGUAAAGAGCUUGUAGGCGGUCUGUCGCGUCUGCUGUGAAAAUCCGGGGCUCAACCCCGGACUUGCAGUGGGUACGGGCAGACUAGAGUGUGGUAGGGGGAGACUGGAAUUCCUGGUGUAGCGGUGAAAUGCGCAGAUAUCAGGAGGGAACACCGGUGGGCGAAGGCGGGUCUCUGGGCCUU
rnacentral:rRNA from 1 species